UUGCACUGCCUUUGAACCUGGCAUGUCUAUUGUAGCUUCUCAGGCCAAGCAACAGUGCUAGAUUGUAAGUACUUGUUAUAACUGGGGCAUUUCAGCUCUCAUCUGAACUGUUCUUUUAAAAGCAAGUUACAUCU